rnacentral:rRNA from 1 species
GGUUAAGCGACUAAGCGUACACGGUGGAUGCCCUGGCAGUCAGAGGCGAUGAAGGACGUGCUAAUCUGCGAUAAGCGUCGGUAAGGUGAUAUGAACCGUUAUAACCGGCGAUUUCCGAAUGGGGAAACCCAGUGUGUUUCGACACACUAUCAUUAACUGAAUCCAUAGGUUAAUGAGGCGAACCGGGGGAACUGAAACAUCUAAGUACCCCGAGGAAAAGAAAUCAACCGAGAUUCCCCCAGUAGCGGCGAGCGAACGGGGAGCAGCCCAGAGCCUGAAUCAGUGUGUGUGUUAGUGGAAGCGUCUGGAAAGGCGCGCGAUACAGGGUGACAGCCCCGUACACAAAAAUGCACAUAUUGUGAGCUCGAUGAGUAGGGCGGGACACGUGGUAUCCUGUCUGAAUAUGGGGGGACCAUCCUCCAAGGCUAAAUACUCCUGACUGACCGAUAGUGAACCAGUACCGUGAGGGAAAGGCGAAAAGAACCCCGGCGAGGGGAGUGAAAAAGAACCUGAAACCGUGUACGUACAAGCAGUGGGAGCACGCUUAGGCGUGUGACUGCGUACCUUUUGUAUAAUGGGUCAGCGACUUAUAUUCUGUAGCAAGGUUAACCGAAUAGGGGAGCCGAAGGGAAACCGAGUCUUAACUGGGCGUUAAGUUGCAGGGUAUAGACCCGAAACCCGGUGAUCUAGCCAUGGGCAGGUUGAAGGUUGGGUAACACUAACUGGAGGACCGAACCGACUAAUGUUGAAAAAUUAGCGGAUGACUUGUGGCUGGGGGUGAAAGGCCAAUCAAACCGGGAGAUAGCUGGUUCUCCCCGAAAGCUAUUUAGGUAGCGCCUCGUGAAUUCAUCUCCGGGGGUAGAGCACUGUUUCGGCAAGGGGGUCAUCCCGACUUACCAACCCGAUGCAAACUGCGAAUACCGGAGAAUGUUAUCACGGGAGACACACGGCGGGUGCUAACGUCCGUCGUGAAGAGGGAAACAACCCAGACCGCCAGCUAAGGUCCCAAAGUCAUGGUUAAGUGGGAAACGAUGUGGGAAGGCCCAGACAGCCAGGAUGUUGGCUUAGAAGCAGCCAUCAUUUAAAGAAAGCGUAAUAGCUCACUGGUCGAGUCGGCCUGCGCGGAAGAUGUAACGGGGCUAAACCAUGCACCGAAGCUGCGGCAGCGACGCUUAUGCGUUGUUGGGUAGGGGAGCGUUCUGUAAGCCUGUGAAGGUGUGCUGUGAGGCAUGCUGGAGGUAUCAGAAGUGCGAAUGCUGACAUAAGUAACGAUAAAGCGGGUGAAAAGCCCGCUCGCCGGAAGACCAAGGGUUCCUGUCCAACGUUAAUCGGGGCAGGGUGAGUCGACCCCUAAGGCGAGGCCGAAAGGCGUAGUCGAUGGGAAACAGGUUAAUAUUCCUGUACUUGGUGUUACUGCGAAGGGGGGACGGAGAAGGCUAUGUUGGCCGGGCGACGGUUGUCCCGGUUUAAGCGUGUAGGCUGGUUUUCCAGGCAAAUCCGGAAAAUCAAGGCUGAGGCGUGAUGACGAGGCACUACGGUGCUGAAGCAACAAAUGCCCUGCUUCCAGGAAAAGCCUCUAAGCAUCAGGUAACAUCAAAUCGUACCCCAAACCGACACAGGUGGUCAGGUAGAGAAUACCAAGGCGCUUGAGAGAACUCGGGUGAAGGAACUAGGCAAAAUGGUGCCGUAACUUCGGGAGAAGGCACGCUGAUAUGUAGGUGAGGUCCCUCGCGGAUGGAGCUGAAAUCAGUCGAAGAUACCAGCUGGCUGCAACUGUUUAUUAAAAACACAGCACUGUGCAAACACGAAAGUGGACGUAUACGGUGUGACGCCUGCCCGGUGCCGGAAGGUUAAUUGAUGGGGUUAGCGCAAGCGAAGCUCUUGAUCGAAGCCCCGGUAAACGGCGGCCGUAACUAUAACGGUCCUAAGGUAGCGAAAUUCCUUGUCGGGUAAGUUCCGACCUGCACGAAUGGCGUAAUGAUGGCCAGGCUGUCUCCACCCGAGACUCAGUGAAAUUGAACUCGCUGUGAAGAUGCAGUGUACCCGCGGCAAGACGGAAAGACCCCGUGAACCUUUACUAUAGCUUGACACUGAACAUUGAGCCUUGAUGUGUAGGAUAGGUGGGAGGCUUAGAAGUGUGGACGCCAGUCUGCAUGGAGCCGACCUUGAAAUACCACCCUUUAAUGUUUGAUGUUCUAACGUUGACCCGUAAUCCGGGUUGCGGACAGUGUCUGGUGGGUAGUUUGACUGGGGCGGUCUCCUCCUAAAGAGUAACGGAGGAGCACGAAGGUUGGCUAAUCCUGGUCGGACAUCAGGAGGUUAGUGCAAUGGCAUAAGCCAGCUUGACUGCGAGCGUGACGGCGCGAGCAGGUGCGAAAGCAGGUCAUAGUGAUCCGGUGGUUCUGAAUGGAAGGGCCAUCGCUCAACGGAUAAAAGGUACUCCGGGGAUAACAGGCUGAUACCGCCCAAGAGUUCAUAUCGACGGCGGUGUUUGGCACCUCGAUGUCGGCUCAUCACAUCCUGGGGCUGAAGUAGGUCCCAAGGGUAUGGCUGUUCGCCAUUUAAAGUGGUACGCGAGCUGGGUUUAGAACGUCGUGAGACAGUUCGGUCCCUAUCUGCCGUGGGCGCUGGAGAACUGAGGGGGGCUGCUCCUAGUACGAGAGGACCGGAGUGGACGCAUCACUGGUGUUCGGGUUGUCAUGCCAAUGGCACUGCCCGGUAGCUAAAUGCGGAAGAGAUAAGUGCUGAAAGCAUCUAAGCACGAAACUUGCCCCGAGAUGAGUUCUCCCUGACUCCUUGAGAGUCCUGAAGGAACGUUGAAGACGACGACGUUGAUAGGCCGGGUGUGUAAGCGCAGCGAUGCGUUGAGCUAACCGGUACUAAUGAACCGUGAGGCUUAACCUU